UCAAUGAUGUGGUGAAACAUAUAUUGAGAGACAAGGAGCUUCCAUGCUAUGAUGAAGUGUGUGCUCAACUUCAAAAAGGAGAUAGGCUCAAAUGGUCUUUUUGGAGGUGGAAAAGGAGGUCUUUCUAUGGCACACAAGGCUGAGAAUAUGGGAAAUGCAUCAGCUAACAAAGCUUACUUCAAGCCAAGGGGAGGAGUAGACAAAACAGUGACUUGUGAACAUUGCAAGAAGCAAGGACACUCCAAAACCAACUGUUGGAUCCUCCAUCCUCAUCUCAGGCCAGCCUCAGCCAAUAAAUACAACCAUGCCAGAGCCCAUGAAGCAAGAGCUCAGGAGCAUCCAGCACCAAGCUACAUACACAUGGGAGAUGGUGGGAGAGCCUUUGUCUCUACAACCCACACUGGUACCUCCACCUCUCAUGCCAUGCCUCAGCCAUCUCAUGAGGAUGCAUUCAUCAGGAAGUCAGACAUUGAGGCCUUGAUCAAGGCUCUCAAUGCAAAUUCUGGUAACCGAAGUAUUAAUGCUUUAAAUUCUAUUCACAAUGAACCACACACUGCUAGGCCAAUGAUCAUUGAUUCAGGAGCUUCUCAUCACAUGAUUAGGGAUGCUAGACUAAUUAGUGAUAUUAAACCAGCUCUAGGAAGUGUUGUGAUUGCAAAUGGUGAUAGAAUUCCAAUUAAAGGAGUAGGAAAUCUGAAUCUGUUUGAUAAAGAAUCUCAAGCCUUUUAUAUGCCUACAUUUACCUCUAAUCUUUUAUCUGUGAAAAGAGCCACUAAUGAUUUAAAUUGCAAUAUUAUUUUUAGUCCUAAUGAUGUGUGCUUUCAGGAUAUUGAGACAAGUAAGAUGCUAGGCAAAGGUGUGAGCAAGGGAGAGCUGUAUUUCCUUGAAGAUGCCAAGCUUAGAUCAGAUUCUACUUAUGCAUUUACUUCUGCCUCUGUUUUAGCUAAUGAUGUGUUAUGGCAUGCUAGAUUAGGCCACCCUCAUUUUCAUGCUUUGCAACUGAUGUUACCUAAUCUAUCUCUUAAAAAUGAAACUUGUGAGGCUUGUAUUCUUGGUAAACAUCAUAAAUCUGUUUUUUCUUCAUCUAUGACUAUGUAUGAGAAUUGUUUUGAUCUAGUUCACUCUGAUGUUUGGACUGCACCUUGUGUUUCUAGAGAAAACCAUAGAUAUUUUGUGACAUUCAUAGAUGAGAAAUCAAAAUAUACUUGGCUCACAUUGAUUCAAAGUAAAGAUAGAGUUUUAGAAGCUUUUAUUAACUUUCAAAACUAUGUAACUAACCAUUUCAAUUCCAAGAUCAAAAUUUUUAGGUCGGAUAAUGGGGGAGAAUACACUAGCAAUGCCUUCAAACAACACUUAGCAAAACAUGUAAUUAUUCACCAGACAAGCUGUCCAUACACACCACAACAAAAUGGAGUGGCUGAGAGAAAGAAUCGCCACCUUAUGGAGGUUGCAAGAAGCAUGAUGUUUCACACCAAUGUUCCAAAGAGAUUUUGGGGAGAUGCUGUGGUUUCUGCAUGCUAUCUCAUCAAUAGAAUCCCAACCAGAGUCCUCAAAGAUGUCUCUCCAUUUCAGGUAUUGAACAAAACUAAGCCUCCUAUUGAUCACUUGCGUGUGUUUGGGUGUGUGUGCUAUGUGUUGCUACCAGGUGAGCAAAGGACCAAGCUUGAUCCCAAGAGUAUCAAAGCUAUGUUCAUAGGAUACUCUCACACACAGAAAGGAUACAAGUGUUACCUGCCAAACUCAAGAAGGGUAAUGGUCUCAAGGGAUGUCAAGUUUGUGGAAUCAAAGGGGUACUAUGAUGAGAAGAGCUGGGAAAACCUUAGGGAUCUUUCACAUGGACCAUCUGAUAGAGCAAACAACCUGAAGAUCAUCCUGGAAAGUUUAGGAAUCAGUAAGCCUCAGAGCAGUGAGGCGCAUAGAACCUCUCCAUCAACACCAGUGGCUGUAACUAAUGAAGAAGCAGUACCGAUUGUUGAGCCAGUCCAUCCUGAUCAUGAGGGGGGCGAUGAGCAUGAAUCAACACCAGAAACACCAGAAGAUGAUUCAGCAUCAGUUCAUGAUCAAGAUGGAGCUGAAUCUGAUCAGUCUAGUAGAGAUCAGUAUGAUGGUGAUCAAGGACAGGAAGAAGCAGUGGUAGAAGAGCAGAUUCAACCAUUGAGGAGAAGUAUUAGAGUGAGGAAACCAUCCAAGUGGGUCGACACCAGAGUAUACUUCAACAGUAAUGCAGUGGCUCAUCCUAUCCAAGCAACCUGCUCCUUUGCAAGCUAUCCUCAAGAGCAUAUAGCUUUCAUCACCAACCUGGAUCAAGAAUAUGUUCCAAAGACUUAUGAAGAAGCUAUGGAGGAUGAUGAGUGGAGAGAGUCUGUUGGAGAUGAAGUUGGAGCCAUGAUCAAAAAUGAUACUUGGUAUGAAACUGAGCUUCCGAAAGGAAAGAAAGCGUCACCAGUCGCCUACUCUUCACCAUCAAGUACUUGGCAAAUGGAAAGCCAGAAAGGAGAAAGACAAGGCUAGUUGCAAGAGGAUACACUCAAAUCUAUGGAGAAGACUAUCUGGAUACCUUUGCACCAGUAGCUAAGCUCCACACUAUAAGGAUUGUUCUCUCCUUGGCUGUGAACUUGGAAUGGGAUUUAUGGCAGAUGGAUGUUAAGAAUGCUUUUCUACAAGGAGAGCUAGAGGAUGAGGUUUACAUGAGACCACCACCUGGUAUGGAAGACAUGGUCAAGCCAGGAAAUGUCCUAAGAUUAAAGAAGGCCAUCUAUGGUUUAAAACAAUCACCAAGAGCCUGGUAUCACAAACUGAGUACAACUCUCAAUGGAAGAGGGUUUGUAAAAUCAGAAGCUGAUCAUACUCUCUUCACCCUCACAAGCAAGCAAGGAAUUGUGGUGAUUCUAAUCUAUGUGGAUGAUAUCAUCAUCACAGGAAGCAAUAAGGAAGGUAUCAUCUCUACUAAAGCUUUUCUUAAAUCUAGCUUUGAUAUUAAAGAUUUGGGUGAGCUAAAGUACUUUCUAGGGAUAGAAAUAUGUCGCUCUAAAGAGGGGAUUUUCUUAUCUCAAAGAAAGUACACACUUGAUCUUUUAAAUGAGGCAGGAAAGCUUGUAGCAAGAGUAGCUAAGACACCACUUGAAGAGGGUUACAAAGUCUUGCGUGAGGGGGAGAUUGAGGACACUCCUUUUGGCGACUUUAAGCUCUAUAGAAGAAUGGUUGGGAAGCUGAUCUAUCUCACCAUUACAAGACCAGACAUCUGCUUUGCUGUGAAUCAAGUCAGCCAGUAUAUGCAAGCACCAAAGGUUCACCAUUGGAAUAUGGUGGAGAGGAUCAUGAGAUAUCUAAGGGAGGCUCCUGGUCAAGGUGUUUGGAUGGGUUGCAACAAGAGCACUGAGAUUGUAGGAUAUUGUGAUGCAGAUUGGGCUGGAGAUAGAGUGGAUAGGAGGUCUACUACUGGUUAUUGCACUUUUAUAGGAGGCAAUCUGGUUACUUGGAAGAGCAAGAAGCAGAAGGUGGUAUCAUGUUCAAGUGCUGAGGCAGAAUACAGAGCAAUGAGGAAGCUGACCAGUGAGCUCAUUUGGAUCAGAAACUUGCUAAGGGACUUGGGCAUAGAGACAACAACACCAAUUACAAUGCACUGUGAUAACCAAGCAGCCAUUCAUAUAGCUUCAAACUCAGUGUUUCAUGAGAGGACAAAGCAUAUUGAAGUGGAUUGUCACAAGGUUAGACAAGCUGUGGAGCAGAAGAUCAUUAUACCUUGCUACACUAGAAGUGAAGACCAGCUAGCUGAUAUCUUCACUAAAGGAGCAAGCACCAAAGUCUGUGAGUUCAUCCAUCCAAGAUUGGGACUCAUAGACUUGCCUAGAUCAUGAUCCUCUUAAGCCAUGAAGCAUCUACUCUUUUUCCUCUUGUGUGUUUUUGUCCCAUUGGGUUUUUCACACAAGAGUUUUUUUAAUGAGGGAUGUCUUCAUGGGUUUCAAGCUCAACCAUACCUUAUGGUUAAGUUUGAGGGGGAGUAUUGACAUACACAAGUCACCAGACUUGAGAACAAGUCACAAGACUUGAGAACAAGUCACCAGACUUGAGAACAAGUCACCAGACUUGAGAACCAGACUUGGAAACCAAACUUGAGAUGCAGCCUUGCAAGUUCAAACUCGCCCAAGAUGUGUUCAAAGGUCAACCAGACCGUUGGAAAGAUCAGAAACAAGUUGGAGUUCUAAAUUACUUAAAGUCACAUGAUCUAUUUAGAGGAGAGAGGAAGAAAGAACUGUUGAGGUGUUGUCCCUUUAAGCUCAUCUUGCAGCAUCAUUCUUUAUUAUUUAUCUCUUUGUUUGUAUCCCAUCUCUGAGCCUUUAAAUAUUGUAACAUUAUGAACUAAAUGAAUUAAGGAAAUAUAUCCUUCUUUACUCUAUCUCUUUUACUCUUGAUUUACUCUCUCUCUCUCUCUCCCUCUCUCUCUUGUUCUUGAGCAUUAUCACUCUUGUUCUUCAUUUUCUAACAAAAUUGAGGUAACAAUAUGUUGAAGUUGCCGACGUAUGCUGCUAUGCAUACAUAGGAGCUUUAUUUUUUUGAACAUACAUAUAUAGGAGCUUUAUUAAGGUCAAAUAUUUAUUAUUGGUUGAUUAGCAUAUACAUCAGUAGAUUAUUACUAAAUUAAUUAUAUUUUAUAAAAAUAUGAAAAUAUAUAUAACAAUAAUAAAAUAUAAUCACUAAUUUAAUAAAGUUAAUAAUAAUAUUUUUUUGUUUAGAUUAAAGUUAUAAUUUUUUUAAUGUAUAAUUUUUUUUAAUUUUAUGAAUAUUAUAUCUACUUUUAAAAAAUAUAAUUAAUUAUUAUAAUUUUUUUUUGAGAUGAAAAUUAUAAUUUUUAGUGAAUAGUCUUUUAUUUAUGAAGAUUAAUAUUAUACUUUUGAAAUAAAAUUAAUAAUAAUAUUAUGUUUGUUGUUAGAUGAAAAUUUUAACUUUUAGUGAUGAAUUUUUUUUUGUUUUAUGAAAAUUAGUAUUAUACGUUAUAAAACAUUUUGUUUAAUUUCUACAUAUGUAUAUAAAUCAGUGAUUAAGGAAAAUCGGUACAAAAUAUUUCAGUUUAAAUCUCUUAUAAAUAUAGAUUAUGAUACUUAUAAAUUAAAAAUAUAAAAUAUAAAAUAUAUUUAUAGUUAUAGUAUCUAAAUUAUUGAACUAAUUUUAUUUUAAAAUAAAUAUUUUGCUGUUAUGUUUUUAUGUGCACACUUGUAACACUACCGCAAAGUUACCCACAAAAUCAACUUUUAAUUUUGGAAGGUCUUAAGCAAAUACGAAACGGGUAUAAUACUGCUUCUAUUGCAGGUGGUGUACAGCAGAACAGUCAAGACGCACGCUUCUUUUUAUGUCUGGUCAAUCAUUAUUCAUUCACCACCAACCCAACUCCACCAACCUCUCCACUCAAUUCAAAACUCUCUCUCUCACUACAAAAGAGUCAAAGAGAGAUAGAAAGAAAGAAAGAAAGAAAGAAAGAAAGAAAUCGAUGGCGGAAGCUAGCGGAGUGAAGAGAAUGAAGCUGGGAAGCCAAGGCCUUGAGGUAUCUGCACAGGGCCUCGGUUGCAUGGGCCUCUCCUCCUUCUACGGUGCUCCCAAGCCCGAAACUGACGCCAUCGCUCUUCUCCACCACGCAAUCGAAUCCGGCGUUACUUUCCUAGACACUUCCGACAUCUACGGUCCUCAGACCAACGAGCUGCUCCUCGGCAAGGCUCUGAAGAAUGGGUUGAGGGAAAAAAUAGAGCUUGCGUCCAAAUUUGGGAUCAGCUACGGAGAGGGGAAGAGAGAGAUAAAGGGAGAUCCUUUGUAUGUUAGAGCUGCUUGUGAGGCUAGUUUAAAGCGGCUUGAUGUGGACUGCAUUGAUCUUUACUACCAGCAUCGCAUCGAUACUCGUGUCCCUAUCGAAAUCACUAUGGGGGAACUGAAGAAGCUAGUUGAAGAAGG